rnacentral:rRNA from 1 species
AGAGUUUGAUCCUGGCUCAGAGUGAACGCUGGCGGCAGGCCUAAUACAUGCAAGUCGAACGGCAGCACAGCAGAGCUUGCUCUGUGGGUGGCGAGUGGCGGACGGGUGAGGAAUACGUGGGAAUCUGCCCAGUCGUGGGGGAUAACGUAGGGAAACUUACGCUAAUACCGCAUGCGCCCUUCGGGGGAAAGCCGGGGACCUUCGGGCCUGGCGCGAUUGGAUGAGCCCACGUCGGAUUAGCUAGUUGGCGGGGUAAAGGCCCACCAAGGCGACGAUCCGUAGCUGGUCUGAGAGGAUGAUCAGCAACACUGGAACUGAGACACGGUCCAGACUCCUACGGGAGGCAGCAGUAGGGAAUAUUGGACAAUGGGCGCAAGCCUGAUCCAGCCAUGCCGCGUGAGUGAAGAAGGCCCUCGGGUUGUAAAGCUCUUUUGUCCGGAAAGAAAAGCGCCGGGUUAAUACCCUGGUGUCCUGACGGUACCGGAAGAAUAAGCACCGGCUAACUUCGUG